rnacentral:rRNA from 1 species
UGCGAGCGUUGUUCGGAAUUAUUGGGCGUAAAGGGCGCGUAGGCGGUGCGGUAAGUCACCUGUGAAAUCUCCUGGCUCAACUGGGAGCUUGCAGGCGAAACUGCCGUGCUGGAGUGUGGGAGAGGUGCGUGGAAUUCCUGGUGUAGCGGUGAAAUGCGUAGAUAUCAGGAGGAACACCUGUGGCGAAAGCGGCGCACUGGACCACAACUGACGCUGAGGCGCGAAAGCUAGGGGAGCAAACAGG